ACGGGAGGCAGCAGUGGGGAAUAUUGCACAAUGGGGGAAACCCUGAUGCAGCGACGCCGCGUGAGUGAAGAAGUAUUUCGGUAUGUAAAGCUCUAUCAGCAGGGAAGAUAAUGACGGUACCUGACUAAGAAGCACCGGCUAAAUACGUGCCAGCAGCCGCGGUAAUACGUAUGGUGCAAGCGUUAUCCGGAUUUACUGGGUGUAAAGGGAGCGUAGACGGCUGUGCAAGUCUGAAGUGAAAGCCCCGGGCUCAACUCGGGAACUGCUUUGGAAACUGUGCAGCUAGAGUGCAGGAGAGGUAAGUGGAAUUCCUAGUGUAGCGGUGAAAUGCUUAGAUAUUAGGAGGAACACCGGUGGCGAAGGCGGCUUGCUGGACUGAUACUGACACUGAGGCACGAAAGCGUGGGGAGCAAACAGGAUUAGAUACCCUGGUA
rnacentral:rRNA from 1 species